rnacentral:misc_RNA from 1 species
UUUCGAUUUGCUGAAGUGGUGUUAUUUCAUUAGAAUACUUACUUAAUUAAUGGUGCAGCUGAUGAGUUCAACCAAAAUAUAUCCGUUCCAGUUACACCAAUAAAUAUGUCUCGAGUUUCCAACUCUGGUAUUAAAGCAUUUGACCAGCCUGUAAACAGAGUUUUUUCACUGGCAACGCUGUUAUUUUUUAAUUUCCAAGCCCAUUCAGCGGCAACCGCACAGAAUUGUUCAAAAUUUAUUUGAUAUUCGGCUGGGUCAUCUUUCGCCGAAAAAUUCUCUAUUAAUGUCUCAUAUACAU